rnacentral:rRNA from 1 species
GCAGCCGCGGUAAUUCCAGCUCCAAUAGCGUAUAUUAAAGUUGUUGCAGUUAAAAAGCUCGUAGUUGAAUUUCGGGAUCAAUACGUCGGUCGUGCCUUCGGUACGCACUGGCGUCGUUGAUUUCUCCCUUCUGAUGAACCAUGAUGUCAUUAAUUUGGUGUUGUGGGGAGUCAGGACUGUUACUUUGAAAAAAUUAGAGUGUUUAAAGCAGGCAAACGCUUGAAUACAUUAGCAUGGAAUAAUGAAAUAGGACGUUCGAACCUAUUUUGUUGGUUUCUAGGUACAACGUAAUGAUUAAUAGGGAUAGUUGGG